UCAGAGCUGGCUGCCAUUGGACACUCCAAGGAUCUUCUGGAGGCUCCCUGUCAACGUACUGCCACUAAAACCCUGGAUGGUCUUCUAUUCAGCCUGUAACCCCAGACCCUCUUCUGAAUUCAGGGCAGGAGGUGGUGAACCAGAUAUCCCACAGGAGUCAGACGCCAACUAGAGGUCUGUGGAACAAAUGCUGAGAAAUACUGCUGCAACUUGAGCAAUAAAAUGAACAGCAAUGGCCCUCAAGCACUCCUUAUAUGUGAGACACAUACCACGUAGACUCUGAGGCCUAAGGAAUUCAUCACUCACACUCCUGCCUGCUGCCUCCAACACAAGUCAUCAUGCCUGUGUCUCCAAAGCGUCCACGCCUCGAUCAAGAAAUCCAGGACUCAACUGAGGAAAGAGAUUUGUUUUUACAUUUUCCCAUAAAUGAGAGAGAGGAAGAGGAGAACUCCUCUAUUUCCUCUUCCUCUUUCAACUUCAACCUUUCCACUCCCUCCUUGUCCUGUUCCUCCUCCUUCUCCUCCUCUCCUUCCAACACACCCCCUCCACCCCCCACCUCUCCCCGUUCCUCCCCCACUUCUCUGGUUCCAGAUACUCCAAAAGAGGAGGAGGUGGCUACUGCAGUAGCCCAGGGUACUAAUGAGGAUCCUUCCCAGAGUCCUGAGGGUUCCACUUUAGGGAAUCAGUCUGAUGAAAAGCCCAACAGCCAUGAAGAGGAGGAGGUGUCAAGCACCCAGAAGCCAUGCUCAGAAAGUGCAUCUUCAGCUUGAAAGUUACUGGGUGCUAAAAUACCUGAAUUGAUCAUUCCCCUAUCCUCAAGUAUUGACGAAGUAACCCAUUAUAAAAGUGAAAACAUUCAAGGUUGUCAUCAGUGUUGUCACAUAGACCAAUUCCUGUGAUGUCUGUGGCAGCUUCUUUUCUUUUGUUUGUUUUAAAGAUAAAAGGAGGGAAACAUUAACAGACAUACAACAUUUUACAACAUAUCA